rnacentral:rRNA from 1 species
AUUGAACGCUGGCGGCAGGCUUAACACAUGCAAGUCGAGCGGAGCGGCGGUCGGGUGAGUAAUGCCUAGGAAUCUGCCCGGUCGUGGGGGAUAACGUCCGGAAACGGGCGCUCAUACCGCAUACUUACAGAUGAGCCUAGGUCGGAUUAGCUCGUUGGGGGGGUAAAGGCCUACCAAGGCGACGAUCCGUAUCGGGUCUGAGAGGAUGAUCAGUCACACGGGAACUGAGACACGGUGCAGACUCCUACGGUAGGCAGCAGUGGGGAAUAUUGGACAAUGGGCGAAAGCCUGAACCAGCCAUGCCGCGUGUGUGAAGAAGGUCUUCGGAUUGUAAAGCACUUUAAGUUGGGAGGCGUUACCAACAGAAGAAGCACCGGCUAACUUCGUGCCAGCAGCCGCGGUAAUUC